rnacentral:rRNA from 1 species
UACAGAGACUGCAAGCGUUAUUCGGAUUCACUGGGCGUAAAGGGUGCGUAGGCGGACAGGUAAGUCAGUGGUGAAAUCUCUGGGCUUAACUCAGAAACUGCCGUUGAUACUAUUUGUCUUGAAUAUUCUGGAGGUAAGCGGAAUAUGUCAUGUAGCGGUGAAAUGCUUAGAUAUGACAUAGAACACCGAUAGCGAAGGCAGCUUACUACAGAAUGAUUGACGCUGAGGCACGAAAGCGUGGGGAGCAAACAGG